rfam:Ipomoea nil DNA, scaffold: scaffold2191, cultivar: Tokyo-kokei standard.
GCUCUUGUAGCUCAGUUGGUUAGAGCACCUGUUUAGUAAGCAAGAGGUUUUGAGUUCAAUUCUCAAUAAGAGCA